rnacentral:Y_RNA from 1 species
GGCUGGUCUGAAGGUAGUGAGUUAUCCCACUUGAUUGUUCACAGUCAGUUACAGAUUGAACUCCUUGUUCUACUGCUUUCCCUUCUCACUACUGCACUUGACUAGUCAAAA